CAGUCAGUUGUCUCUCCCUCUCCCCUCUAUCCCUCCAGUCAGUUGUCUCCCCCCCCCCCUCUGUCCCUCCAGUCAGUUGUCCUCCCCCUCCCCUCUAUCCCUCCAGUCAGUUGUCUCUCCCUCUCUCCCUCUAUCCCUCCAGUCAGUUGUCUCCCCCUCUCCCCUCUAUCCCUCCAGUCAGUUGUCUCUCCCUCUCCCCUCUAUCCCUCCAGUCAGUUGUCUCUCCCUCUCCCCUCUAUCCCUCCAGUCAGUUGUCUCCCCCUCUCCCCUCUAUCCCUCUAGUCAGUUGUCUCUCCCUCUCACUUGUAUCCUAUUUGUAUCAGAUUAGCCUUCCCAUCUAGCCUGCUCCCAGAUAUGUCUGAGCUCCAUUGCUGUUCAAGCCAAAGUGUCAAUGAGACACAGGGAGCUGGGCAUGAUAACACAAACAGACUGGCAGUCAGGCUACUUCCCACCUGUCUAUGUAUCCCAGUCUCACCCAGGUCUCCACAAGUCUCCCCCAGUCUCUCUCACAAGUCUCUCCCAGUCUCUCUCCCAAGUCUCUCCCAGUCUCUCUCCCAAGUCUCCCCAUGUCUCUCGCCCAAGUAUCCACCAGUCUCUCUCCCAAGUCUCCCCCAGUCUCUCUCCCAAGUCUCCCCCAGUCUCUCUCCCAAGUCUCUCCCAAGUCUCCCCAGUCUCUCUCCCAAGUCUCUCCCAGUCUCUCUCCACAAGUCUCCCCCAGUCUCUCUCCCAGUCUCUCUCCCAGUCUCUCUCCCAGUCUCUCUCCCAAUCUCUCUCCCAAGUCUCCCCAGUCUCUCUCCCAAGUCUCCCCUAGUCUCUUUCCCAAGUCUCCCUAGUCUCUCUCCCAGUCUCUCUCCCAGUCUCUCUCCCAGUCUCUCUCCCGGUCUCUCUGCCAAGUCUCCCCAGUCUCUCUCCCAAGUCUCCCUAGUCUCUCUCACAAGUCUCCCCGUCUCUCUCCCAGUCUCCCUAGUCUCUCUCCCAAGUCUCCCUAGUCUCUCUCCCAAGUCUCCCCAGUCUCUCUCCCAAGUCUCCCCAGUCUCUCUCCCAAGUCUCCCCGUCUCUCUCCCAGUCUCCCUAGUCUCUCUCCCAAGUCUCCCUAGUCUCUCUCCCAAG
ensembl:lncRNA